ACGGGAGACGUGUACAAGUGUCCAGUGAUCCACGGGAACUGCACCAAACUCAACCUGGAAGGGUCACCCUGUCCAACGUGUCCGAGCGGAAAGACAACAUGCGCCUCGGCCUUAGUCUCGCCACCAACCCCAAGGACAACAGCUUCCUGCCUGCAGCCCCCUCUGGUCUCAUGAGUGUGGGAGCUCCUACUACACCACAGGGAUGUGUUCAAGAGUCAACUCCAACUUCAGGUUCUCCAAGACCGUGGCCCCAGCUCUCCAAGGUGCCAGACCUACAUGGACAUCGUCAUUGUCCUGGAUGGCUCCAACAGCAUCUACCCCUGGGUGGAGGUUCAGCACUU
rnacentral:lncRNA from 1 species